GUGCCAGCAGCCGCGGUAAUACGGAGGGUGCAAGCGUUAUCCGGAUUUACUGGGUUUAAAGGGUGCGUAGGUGGAUAAUUAAGUCAGUGGUGAAAUCUUCAGGCUUAACCUGGAAACUGCCAUUGAUACUAUUUGUCUUGAAUACUUUGGAGGUAAGCGGAAUAUGUCAUGUAGCGGUGAAAUGCUUAGAUAUGACAUAGAACACCAAUUGCGAAGGCAGCUUACUACACAGUAAUUGACACUGAGGCACGAAAGCGUGGGGAUCAAACAGGAUUAGAUACCCCGGUAGUCC
rnacentral:rRNA from 1 species